UACACUGCCUGGUUUUGUGGUUAGCACGAGACGGUUGACACAAUGAUCUGAAGUUCAAACUGCCAUUUUCUACUGUCCGCUGCAAGAUCUUGGCUGGAAUGUAAAAGGAAUGUCCAAAAUAUUUAAAUGACAAACAGGAUGGGAACUGAUAAUGAGGAAUAUGCUGAAACAGACAUCUGGCAUAUUCCUAUAAUCAGUAUCAUGGCCUUUGUAUACAACAAAAUUGAUUGGAACUCCUAGACUAGAAAUAUAAUUCAAGAUUUAAAUAAGGCACUGGUCAUAGUUUUAGAAAGUGUGGCUAGCAUUCUGAAGGAAGACAGAGAGAUGGAAAGACAUCAAAGAAUGGGCAGGUCUGCAAAGAAAUGGUUUAUCCAGGGCUAAGUACAGAGAGGAAUAUAGAAGGGCUGUUGACAGAUCUUGUGUGGUGCCCCCAUGGUUCAACAGACUAAUUGAUUGGUAAUGAAAAUAAUACCAGGGUUAUGCUCCUUUGACCAUUGAGUUCCAGGAUGAAGAAUGAAAGACAGAGAGCAAUGUGAAGACAUGAAAGAAUGGGCAGGUCUGCCAUGAAAUGGUUUAUCCAGGGCUAAAUACAGAGAGAAAUAUAGAAGGGCUGUUGACAGAUCUUGUGUGGUGGCCCCAUGGUUCAAC